GAAAGCGCUUGAUUACCAACUGAUUUUACCGACCGCCGUGAAAGUAGUCAGUAAAAAUAAAUUUACCAACCGAAAUAGAAACGGUCGCUAAAUUUACCGACCGAAUGUAGAGCGGUUGGUAAAUUUAAAAUUUACCAACCGCUUUCAUAACGGUCGUAAAUUUAUCGACUGCAUAAACUUCCAUUCCGACUAUUGAGCAGUCGGUAAAUUCCGACUAUUUUCAAAAUAAAUUUAAAAUUUUAAUAACCGCCUAUAUAAUAUAUCCGACCAAAAAAGCGGUCGCUAAAAUUAAAAAAAAAAUAAAAAAAAAAUAAAUAAUCAAUGACCAAAAACGGUCACUAAAUUAAAAAAAGAAAAAAAAAAUUCUUGUCUGCCUUCCUCCUCCUUCGACCAAUUUAGAGAAAUUAAAAAUAGAAAGUUGAAGAGCCUUCCCUCCUUCGACCUUCGACGCAGCCGGUGAACCACCCCCCUCCCCCGACGCAGCCGGUUGCCGCCACCCUAACCCCCCUACUCGGCCAGAGUGCACGACCCACCCAGCCCAGCCGUGCACGGUUCCCCCCAGCCAGCAGCCCAGCCCACGCCCAACCCCCCCCAGAGCCGCGCACGGCGCCCCCCAGCCAGCAGCCCAGGCGGACCACCCACCGGACCGGACUACUCAAUCGUCGAUGUUUUCCACUCCAGAUCUUGUAUGUGAACUCUUCGAUCUUUGAAGGAAAACUAUGAAAAAAAUGUUGCUGAAUGUGUUGAAAAAGGCAUUGCUAAAGAUCCAAACCAAAUCUACUUUGAGACAGUAGGUGGGAGAAAGAAGGGAAAGGUCCCCGGGCUGGGGAGUGGAGACUCUCUAUACUUUGCACCAUCUAGAAGGGGUGGUAGUUCUUCUAGCUCAUACACCCCAUCUAUUUAUUCUCAAAUGUCAUCUCGAUUGGAAGAGACUCAACAACAGUUGACCCAAAAAUCCAUUGAGCUUGAAACAACAAAAAAUCAGAUGUUAAAGGCUAUAGAGGACGAUCUACUUUUGAGGCAAAGGGAGAGAGAAGAAAGAGAAGCAGAGCGACUAGAGCACCAAAGGGAGAUGGAAAGGGAGAGACAAGAGAGAGAAAGGGAGAGACAAGAAAGAGAAGAACAUGCCGCCCAGAUGAAAAAGGCAAUGGAGUCUUACGAGCGGAUGUUCAGUCAAUGUACUGGUUUUCCUUUCUCGCAGUCGCAGGACCCUUGAGAUCCAACCGGCGGCGGGACACCUUUGUGUU